AUUGAACGCUGGCGGCAGGCUUAACACAUGCAAGUCGAGCGGGGGAAGGUAGCUUGCUACCGGACCUAGCGGCGGACGGGUGAGUAAUGCUUAGGAAUCUGCCUAUUAGUGGGGGACAACAUCUCGAAAGGGAUGCUAAUACCGCAUACGUCCUACGGGAGAAAGCAGGGGAUCUUCGGACCUUGCGCUAAUAGAUGAGCCUAAGUGGGAGUAGCUAGUUGGUGGGGUAAAGGCCUACCAAGUCGACGAUCUGUAGCGGGUCUGAGAGGAUGAUCCGCCACACUGGGAAUGAGACACGGCCCAGACUCCUACGGGAGGCAGCAGUGGGGAAUAUUGGACAAUGGGGGGAACCCUGAUCCAGCCAUGCCGCGUGUGUGAAGAAGGCCUUAUGGUUGUAAAGCACUUUAAGCGAGGAGGAGGCUACUUUAGUUAAUACCUAGAGAUAGUGGACGUUACUCGCAGAAUAAGCACCGGCUAACUCUGUGCCAGCAGCCGCCGCUG
rnacentral:rRNA from 1 species